GAUGAAGAACGCAGCGAAAUGCGAUAACUAAUGUGAAUUGCAGAAUUCCGUGAAUCAUCGAGUCUUUGAACGCACAUUGCGCCCCCUGGUAUUCCGGGGGGCAUGCCUGUCCGAGCGUCAUUGCUGCCCAUCAAGCACGGCUUGUGUGUUGGGUCCUCGUCCCCCCCGGGGGACGUGCCCGAAAGGCAGCGGCGGCACCGCGUCCGGUCCUCGAGCGUAUGGGGCUUUGUCACCCGCUCUGCAGGCCCGGCCGGCGCUGGCCGACGCGAAAGCAACCAUUUUUUCUCCAGGUUGACCUCGGAUCAGGCAGGGAUACCCGCUGAACUUAAGCAUAUCAAUAAGCGGAGGA
rnacentral:misc_RNA from 1 species